rnacentral:rRNA from 1 species
UACAGAGGUCCCAAGCGUUGUUCGGAUUCACUGGGCGUAAAGGGUGCGUAGGUGGUCGGGUAAGUCUGAUGUGAAAUCCCGCAGCUUAACUGCGGAAUGGCAUUGGAUACUAUUCGGCUAGAGGGUUGGAGGGGGGACUGGAAUUCUCGGUGUAGCAGUGAAAUGCGUAGAUAUCGAGAGGAACACCAGUGGCGAAGGCGAGUCCCUGGACAACUCCUGACGCUGAGGCACGAAAGCUAGGGGGAGCAAACAGG